rnacentral:tRNA from 1 species
GGGUAUAGCUUAGUGGUAGAGCGAGUGCCUAGCAUGCACAUGCCUGGGUUCAGUCCCCAGUACCUCCA